AAAUUGAAGAGUUUGAUCAUGGCUCAGAUUGAACGCUGGCGGCAGGCCUAACACAUGCAAGUCGAGCGGCAGCGGGAAAGUAGCUUGCUACUUUUGCCGGCGAGCGGCGGACGGGUGAGUAAUGCCUGGGGAUCUGCCYAGUCGAGGGGGAUAACAGUUGGAAACGACUGCUAAUACCGCAUACGCCCUACGGGGGAAAGGAGGGGACCUUCGGGCCUUUCGCGAUUGGAUGAACCCAGGUGGGAUUAGCUAGUUGGUGGGGUAAUGGCUCACCAAGGCGACGAUCCCUAGCUGGUCUGAGAGGAUGAUCAGCCACACUGGAACUGAGACACGGUCCAGACUCCU
rnacentral:rRNA from 1 species